rnacentral:lncRNA from 1 species
UGGUAUGUCUAAUUUUUUUUGUUUUGAAGAAAAUUUUCUGUUUGGUCCGUUUGGGCCUUGUUCCUUUAAUAAAAGUCAAGAUGAUAAAAAAAAAUUUGACUUGCACCACUACGCUAUAUAGUUAUGCUAGAUUUUAACACGUAUUAUAACAUAGAAUCAAUACUGAACAAGCUAUAAUAUUUUUAAUAAAAUAAUUAUUAAAAA